GUGUUUACCUGUGGGGUAUCACAGCAGCACAUAUACUAAAAUAGGAAAAAUGUGGAGAGGAUUAACAUGGUCCCUGUGAAAGGAUGAGAGAAUCUUGAAAGUAGCAAGAAAAAAGUGA
rnacentral:snRNA from 1 species